UGCAGUCGAGCGACAGACGAGGAGCUUGCUCCUCUGACGUUAGCGGCGGACGGGUGAGUAACACGUGGAUAACCUACCUAUAAGACUGGGAUAACUUCGGGAAACCGGAGCUAAUACCGGAUAAUAUAUUGAACCGCAUGGUUCAAUAGUGAAAGACGGUUUUGCUGUCACUUAUAGAUGGAUCCGCGCCGCAUUAGCUAGUUGGUAAGGUAACGGCUUACCAAGGCAACGAUGCGUAGCCGACCUGAGAGGGUGAUCGGCCACACUGGAACUGAGACACGGUCCAGACUCCUACGGGAGGCAGCAGUAGGGAAUCUUCCGCAAUGGGCGAAAGCCUGACGGAGCAACGCCGCGUGAGUGAUGAAGGUCUUCGGAUCGUAAAACUCUGUUAUUAGGGAAGAACAAAUGUGUAAGUAACUAUGCACGUCUUGACGGUACCUAAUCAGAAAGCCACGGCUAACUACGUGCCAGCAGCCGCGGUAAUACGUAGGUGGCAAGCGUUAUCCGGAAUUAUUGGGCGUAAAGCGCGCGUAGGCGGUUUUUUAAGUCUGAUGUGAAAGCCCACGGCUCAACCGUGGAGGGUCAUUGGAAACUGGAAAACUUGAGUGCAGAAGAGGAAAGUGGAAUUCCAUGUGUAGCGGUGAAAUGCGCAGAGAUAUGGAGGAACACCAGUGGCGAAGGCGACUUUCUGGUCUGUAACUGACGCUGAUGUGCGAAAGCGUGGGGAUCAAACAGGAUUAGAUACCCUGGUAGUCCACGCCGUAAACGAUGAGUGCUAAGUGUUAGGGGGUUUCCGCCCCUUAGUGCUGCAGCUAACGCAUUAAGCACUCCGCCUGGGGAGUACGACCGCAAGGUUGAAACUCAAAGGAAUUGACGGGGACCCGCACAAGCGGUGGAGCAUGUGGUUUAAUUCGAAGCAACGCGAAGAACCUUACCAAAUCUUGACAUCCUCUGACCCCUCUAGAGAUAGAGUUUUCCCCUUCGGGGGACAGAGUGACAGGUGGUGCAUGGUUGUCGUCAGCUCGUGUCGUGAGAUGUUGGGUUAAGUCCCGCAACGAGCGCAACCCUUAAGCUUAGUUGCCAUCAUUAAGUUGGGCACUCUAAGUUGACUGCCGGUGACAAACCGGAGGAAGGUGGGGAUGACGUCAAAUCAUCAUGCCCCUUAUGAUUUGGGCUACACACGUGCUACAAUGGACAAUACAAAGGGCAGCGAAACCGCGAGGUCAAGCAAAUCCCAUAAAGUUGUUCUCAGUUCGGAUUGUAGUCUGCAACUCGACUAUAUGAAGCUGGAAUCGCUAGUAAUCGAGAUCAGCAU
rnacentral:rRNA from 1 species